rnacentral:tRNA from 1 species
GGCGCUGUGGUUAGUUGGUCAAAGUGCCUGUCUAAUAAACAGGAGAUCCUGGCUUUGAAUUCCAGCAGUGCCU